GCCCGGUCCCAUCCCGAACCCGGAAGCUAAGCCUACCAGCGCCGAUGAUACUACCCAACAGGGUGGAAAAGUAGGACACCGCCGAAC
rnacentral:rRNA from 1 species